rnacentral:rRNA from 1 species
GACGAACGCUGGCGGCGUGCCUAAUACAUGCAAGUAGAACGCACAGUUUAUACCGUAGCUUGCUACACCAUAGACUGUGAGUUGCGAACGGGUGAGUAACGCGUAGGUAACCUGCCUGGUAGCGGGGGAUAACUAUUGGAAACGAUAGCUAAUACCGCAUAAUAUUAAUUAUUGCAUGAUAAUUAAUUGAAAGGUGCAAUUGCACCACUACCAGAUGGACCCGCGUUGUAUUAGCUAGUAGGUGAGGUAACGGCUCACCUAGGCGACGAUACAUAGCCGACCUGAGAGGGUGAUCGGCCAAACUGGGACUGAGACACGGCCCAGACUCCUACGGGAGGCAGCAGUAGGGAAUCUUCGGCAAUGGACGAAAGUCUGACCGAGCAACGCCGCGUGAGUGAAGAAGGGUGUCGGAUCGUAAAGCUCUGUUGUAAGAGAAGAACGGGUGUGAGAGUGGAAAGUUCACACUGUGACGGUAUCUUAACAGAAAGGGACGGCUAACUACGUG